CCUACGGGGGGCAGCAGUAGGGAAUCUUCCACAAUGGGCGAAAGCCUGAUGGAGCAACGCCGCGUGGGUGAAGAAGGUCUUCGGAUCGUAAAACCCUGUUUUUAGAGAAGAAAGUGCGUGAGAGUAACUGUUCACGUUUCGACGGUAUCUAACCAGAAAGCCCCGGCUAACUACGUACCAGCAGCCGCGGUAAUACGUAGGUGGCAAGCGUUAUCCGGUUGUAUUGGGCGUAAAGGGAACGCAGGCGGUCUUUUAAGUCUGAUGUGAAAGCCUUCGGCUUAACCGGAGUAGUGCAUUGGAAACUGGGAGACGUGAGUGCAGACGAGGAGAGUGGAACUCCAGGUGGAGCGGUGAAAUGCGUAGAUAUAUGGAAGAACACCAGUGGCGAAAGCGGCUCUCUGGUCUGUAACUGACGCUGAGGUUCGAAAGCGUGGGUAGCAAACAGGAUUAGAUACCCGGGUAGUC
rnacentral:rRNA from 1 species